AGGAUGAACGCUGGCGGCGUGCCUAACACAUGCAAGUCGAGCAAAGCUCUUUCGAGAGAGGGAGCGCCACACGAGGAGCCUGCGCCCGAUUAGCUAGCUGGUGGAGUAACGGUUCACCAGGGCGACGAUCGAUAGCUGGUCUGAGAGGACGAUCAGCCACACUGGGAUUGAGAACGGCCCAGACUCCUACGGGGGCAGCAGUGAGGAAUUUUCGUCAAUGGGGGCAACCCUGAACGAGCAACGCCGCGUGCAGGAAGAAGGUUUUCGGAUCGUAAACUGCUUUUCUCGGGGAAGAGAAUGGACGGUACCCGAGGAAUCAGCCCCGGCUAACUACGUGCCAGCAGCCGC
rnacentral:rRNA from 1 species